rnacentral:lncRNA from 1 species
UCCCAAUCUCCUGCUGCGUCAGUUGAACACAUAAAAGAAUGUUCCCUGCCUGACUGAUGUGCCGCUGUCCCGCUUUUUGUAGACACAAUUUGACUCUUGUGUUUGUGUCGGCGUAUAAACAGCACGUCACAUCUGCCUCCUCGGUCGCACGCAUGCUGACGUCAAUAAGCCACUAAGUCCUGAAGCAGUCCCCUGAUUUGGAAAGUCCUGUGCAAUCCAGUCCAGAGGCUCAGGUAAGGCAUGACUGUUCUGAUUCUCAUUGGGUGCAGGAAGGGUUAAAUUGCGUU